GAUGAACGCUGGCGGCGUGCCUAAUACAUGCAGGUCGAGCGAACGGACGAGAAGCUUGCUUCUCUGAUGUUAGCGGCGGACGGGUGAGUAACACGUGGAUAACCUACCUAUAAGACUGGGAUAACUUCGGGAAACCGGAGCUAAUACCGGAUAAUAUUUUGAACCGCAUGGUUCAAAAGUGAAAGACGGUCUUGCUGUCACUUAUAGAUGGAUCCGCGCUGCAUUAGCUAGUUGGUAAGGUAACGGCUUACCAAGGCAACGAUGCAUAGCCGACCUGAGAGGGUGAUCGGCCACACUGGAACUGAGACACGGUCCAGACUCCUACGGGAGGCAGCAGUAGGGAAUCUUCCGCAAUGGGCGAAAGCCUGACGGAGCAACGCCGCGUGAGUGAUGAAGGUCUUCGGAUCGUAAAACUCUGUUAUUAGGGAAGAACAUAUGUGUAAGUAACUGUGCACAUCUUGACGGUACCUAAUCAGAAAGCCACGGCUAACUACG
rnacentral:rRNA from 1 species